rnacentral:rRNA from 1 species
UACGAAGGGGGCUAGCGUUGUUCGGAAUUACUGGGCGUAAAGCGCGCGUAGGCGGUGAUCUUUGUCAGAGGUGAAAGCCCGGGGCUCAACCCCGGAAUUGCCUUUGAAACGGGAUCGCUCGAGUCCGAGAGAGGAUGGCGGAAUUCCUAGUGUAGAGGUGAAAUUCGUAGAUAUUAGGAAGAACACCGGUGGCGAAGGCGGCCAUCUGGCUCGGUACUGACGCUCAGGCGUGAAAGCGGGGGGAGCAAACAGG